GCCGAAGUGGCGAAAUGGCAGACGCGCUACGUUCAGGGCGUAGUGAGGUAUAACCUCAUGUGGGUUCAAAUCCCACCUUCGGCACCA
rnacentral:tRNA from 1 species